CAAUAGCGUAUAUUAAAGUUGUUGCAGUUAAAAAGCUCGUAGUUGGACUUCUGGCAUGCUGCGCCUGGCCCGCCCGCGUUAGCGGUGUGAGUGCCGGUUUGCGCGGUUGCCAUCCUUCAGAAAAUCCGGCCUGCCUUUUGUUAGGUUGGGUCGGCGAUUCUGAUCGUUUACUUUGAAAAAUUAGAGUGUUAAAGCAGGCAAUUGCUGUGAAUACAUUAGCAUGGAAUAAUAAUAUAGGACUUUGGUUCUAUUUUGUUGGUUUCUAGGACUAAAGUAAUGAUUGAUAGGGAUAGUGGGGGUGCUAGUAUUGAGUGGCCAGAGGUGAAAUUUUCGGACUCACUCAAGACUAACUUAUGCGAAAGCAUUCACCAAGGAUGUCUUCUUUAAUCAAGAACGAAAGUUGGGGGAUCGAAGACGAUCAGAUACC
rnacentral:rRNA from 1 species